rnacentral:lncRNA from 1 species
GGAUUGGGAUAUUCCGACUCCUUAAGGGCCUGGCGCACAUAAGGUGUGACCUUUUCAUUCCCGUUGUUAUGGAGGUAGGCUCUCUAGGAAUCUGGGAGUAGUAGCUGGGGGGCAAGAGCAAAUAAAGAGCUCGAGCUUCUGUGGUCUCUGGGGAGAUGUUCCCGGGAAGCCUGUCUAGAGGGCGGAGGGCAGCUGUUGAGAUGGCGUGGCUCCCCGGCUCCUGCGCCCGCGUGGCUUUCGCGGCGGGCGCUGCGGCCCGGUAUUGGACAGCCUGGCAGGGCAGCGCGGGGCCGAAUCCGGCUGCCGUGGCUGAGGCUCAUGGAUCACUCUUUUGUGGUAGGGCCACAUCUGCCAGAGCCUGGAGUCUGCGAAGGCCGGGACCCGGUUCCCCGGCCCACAGUGGGGGUGUGCAAACCCGAGAGAACUGGAUUGCGUACCCACUGCAGAGUGCUGAAGACGGGGUAGCCACGAGGUUGCAAAUUCGUGAAGAAUCAGCAUCAUGUUUGGCAGCUGAGUAUUGGAGCCAGGAGCCUGCCAUGAGGUUAUAUUCCCAGAGGAUGUCAGUCCCAAGGACCAGUAGCUGCCAUCAGUUUGGAUUCUGAAAACUAACUGGCAUCAACACUGGGUGUAGAAACAUGCUUGCCUUAUGUAUCAGAGGACAUGCUCAGCAGAUCCAAGAGAUAUAUUUGGCAACUUUUUCUAGAAAAGGCACAUUGGGUAUCAUUCAUUACAUUCUUGAGUUUUUUUGGGUUUUUUUUUUUUUUUUUGAGACAGUCUUGCUGUAUUGCCCAGGCUGGAGUGUGGUGGCACAAUCACAGCUCAUUGCAUCCUCAAUCACCCAGGCCUAAGCAAUCCUCCCACCUUGUAGCUGGGACUACAGCUCACAGCACACCUGGCUAAAAUUUUUUUUUUGUUGAGACGGAUUCUCUAUGUUGCCCAGGCUGGUCUCAGGCUCCUGGGCUCAGAUGGUCCUCCUGCCUCAGCUUCCAAAGGCACAGGCCAAGUUGUAGCUUUGUCCCUUGCCAUCAUGCCCAACAAGAGGUUCUAUACCUUUUAAUGAAUUGACUUUCAUAAAUUGGUUAUGUUGGUGGGCAAAGUUCUUUAAGCUGGAAAUUGUAAAUUCCUCCUGAAAUGUUUUUUCAUGCAGUUACCAUGAACUAAUACUACAAUAAAGGAUGGUCUUGGGUGUCAAUUCUUGAA